rnacentral:rRNA from 1 species
GACUGCUAUCGGAUGAUACUAAGCCAUGCGAGUCAUUGUAGCAAUACAAGGCAGACGGCUCAGUAACGCGUAGUCAACCUACCCUAUGGACGGGAAUAACCUCGGGAAACUGAGUAUAAUGCCCGAUAGAACAUUAUGCCUGGAAUGGUUUAUGUUCCAAAUGAUUUAUCGCCGUAGGAUGGGACUGCGGCCUAUCAGUUUGUUGGUGAGGUAAUGGCCCACCAAGACUAUUACAGGUACGGGCUCUGAGAGGAGUAGCCCGGAGAUGGGUACUGAGACACGGACCCAGGCCCUAUGGGGCGCAGCAGGCGAGAAAACUUUGCAAUGUGCGAAAGCACGACAAGGUUAAUCCGAGUGGUUUCUGCUAAAGGAACCUUUUGUUAGUCCUAAAAACACUAACGAAUAAGGGGUGGGCAAGUUCUGGUGUCAGCCGCCGCGGUAAAACCAGCACCUCAAGUGGUCAGGAUGAUUAUUGGGCCUAAAGCAUCCGUAGCCUGCUCUGUAAGUUUUCGGUUAAAUCUGUAUGCUCAACAUACAGGCCGCCGGGAAUACUGCAGGGCUAGGGAGUGGGAGAGGUAGACGGUACUCGGGAGGAAGUGGUAAAAUGCUUUGAUCUCUCGAUGACCACCUGUGGCGAAGGCGGUCUACCAGAACACGUCCGACGGUGAGGGAUGAAAGCUGGGGGAGCAAACCGGAUUAGAUACCCGGGUAGUCCCAGCCGUAAACUAUGCAAACUCAGUGAUGCAUUGGCUUGUGGCCAAUGCAGUGUUGCAGGGAAGCCGUUAAGUUUGCCGCCUGGGAAGUACGUACGCAAGUAUGAAACUUAAAGGAAUUGGCGGGGGAGCACCACAAGGGGUGAAGCCUGCGGUUCAA